rnacentral:rRNA from 1 species
UACGUAGGGGGCAAGCGUUGUCCGGAUUUAUUGGGCGUAAAGCGCGCGCAGGCGGUUCUUUAAGUCCGAUGUGAAAGCCCACGGCUCAACCGUGGAGGGUCAUUGGAAACUGGGGAACUUGAGUACAGAAGAGGAAAGCGGAAUUCCACGUGUAGCGGUGAAAUGCGUAGAGAUGUGGAGGAACACCAGUGGCGAAGGCGGCUUUCUGGUCUGUAACUGACGCUGAGGCGCGAAAGCGUGGGGAGCAAACAGG